rnacentral:tRNA from 1 species
UGUUUUAAAAUGGUUUAUAAAUUUAAUUUGUAAAAUUUAAAUUGUUAUAAUAAAAACUG